rnacentral:SRP_RNA from 2 species
CCGUGCUAGACGGGGAGGUAGCGGUGCCCUGUAACCCGCAAUCCGCUAUAGCGGGGUUGAAGUCCUGCCCGCGGGCUUGGCUUGUGGGGUCCGGCCGCCGCAAGGAGCGAAGAAGGUCGGGUCUCGCGCGACGAAGAUUCCCGAACCGUGUCAGGUCCUGGCGGAAGCAGCACUAAGGGAAACCCUUCGGGUGCCGCGAGGGUGCCUGGCCCGAGCCACCUGCGGCAGGUAACGCCCGGAAGCCAUUGUUCAACGGCAGGUGCACGG